AUUCCGCGAAUCAUCGAGUCUUUGAACGCAAGUUGCGCCCGAGGCUUGUCCAAGGGCAUUUCCGCUACAGCGUCACC
rnacentral:rRNA from 1 species